CAAUAGCGUAUAUUUAAGUUGUUGCAGUUAAAAAGCUCGUAGUUGGAUUUCGGUUGAGAACGGCCGGUCCGCCGUUUGGUGUGCACUGGCUGGUCUCAACUUCCUGUAGAGGACGCGCUCUGGGUUAACGCUCGGACGCGGAGUCUACGUGGUUACUUUGAAAAAAUUAGAGUGUUUAAAGCAGGCUAUUGCUCUGAAUACAUUAGCAUGGAAUAAUGGAAUAGGACUUUGGUUCUAUUUUGUUGGUUUUCGGAACCGAAGUAAUGAUUAAUAGGGACAGUUGGGGGCAUUCGUAUUUAAUUGUCAGAGGUGAAAUUCUUGGAUUUAUGAAAGACGAACUUCUGCGAAAGCAUCUGCCAAGGAUGUUUUCAUUAAUCAAGAACGAAAGUUAGGGGCGCGAAGAUG
rnacentral:rRNA from 1 species